CUUUUAUACAUGGGAGAUUAAAAGCUUCAACCUUGAGUGAUCACAGUUUUUGAGAAUCCCGAUGAGGCAUUAAAGAGGAGGAGGAAUGUCCCAAGGGAGGUGAGCUGGAGGCAAAGCAAGCCUCCCUGUCUAUUGGGACAGUUUGCAGGAGGCACAUGAGUCUGCAGGUUUAGAUGAGGUGGCAGCCUCUCCCGUGGAGAUGCUGGAGUGGAGUCAUCCUGGGGACGAGCGAGAGAAAUGCUUCACCCGAUUUGUAUGCUCUUCUUUCAUGGCUGGGAAGACACACUCAUCAGCCCAUCGAAUGUGGUCACCUAAGGAGGGAGACGAGGAUUGCCUCCUUGCCACUUGUGCGAAUUUGUGGAAUUCCAUCACCUGGUUUUGAAAAAUGGAAGUCCGAACUACUAGUGAAAUUGCUCGCAGCAAGAGAAGAAGAAAACGCUAUUGCCUAGUCCUGCAAGUUGCAGAAAAGCUGAUACUAUUAUAUGUCAUAAAACUGGACAUGGAAACGUUACAUCUAACAGAAAAGCCCAGCAAACACUCAGACUCUGAAUGUUACUCUUCUUUCUCAUACCAGGCUUUUGCUGAAACGUGACCUUCUCCUUAUAGUCUUUCUUGACCACCUAAUUUAAAGGCGUUACCUCCCCCAGCCCCCGAAUACAUACUCUCUCUCUCCCCCUGCAAGUCUUCUCCACGGUGAUUAGCAUCACCCAACACAUAUUUUACUUAGUUUAUUUUGUACUGAGUUCAUUUUGUAUUUUCACUAAAGUAAACUCAUGAGCUUCUGGAUUCCCAGUAUUUCUAGAAAAGUUCCUGGCACAUAGUAGCAGCUACUUAAUAAAUUAUUAUUGAAUAAAUAAA